rnacentral:lncRNA from 10 species
AGUGAAAAGUGAGUUUGUGUUCGUGAAUGCCCUGGUGACAAGAGUCUCUUUUUCCCCGAAGAAAGAGAUUCACGUAUGGCUGAAAUUUCCCGGAGAACACAGGAGGGGGGGGAAUAUUGCAAUAAAUCAAAUGUCUUUUGGAAAUGAAGGUGGCUCUGAAGGAAGAUCAAAACAAAAGCCACUAGAGGCCUCCUGCAUGCCUUGGCUCGUGGCCCCUUCUUCCAUCUUCAAAGCCAGCAUUGCCUGCUGCAAGUCCAGCUUAAAGGAAGGAAAGUUCUAAUAAAUUGAAAAUGUUAACUCUGUGGACUAGACAUCUUCACGUGCUUCGUGUUCAACAUGUUAUAACUUCACCAUAAUACAAAUUACCAUCAUGAGUUUAUUUUUGUAUAUGGUGUAAGGAAGAGGUCCAGUUACAGUCUUCUGCAUAUGGCUAGUCAGUUAUCCCAGUACCAUUUAUUGAAUAGGGAAUCCUUUCCCCAUUGCUUAUUUUUGUCAACUUUGUCGAAGAUCAGAUGGUUAUUGGUGUGUGGCAUUAUUUCUGGGCCCUCUGUUCUGUUCCAUUGGUCUUUGUGUCUGUUUUUGUAUCAGUAGUGCCAUGCUGUUUUGGUUACUGUAGCCUUGUAGUAUAGUUUGAAGUUGGGUAACUUGAUGGUUAGAAUGUUCUAUUUGCUUAGGAUUGCCUUGACUAUUCAGGCUCUUUUUUGGUUCUAUAUGAAUUUAAAAAUAGUGUUUUUUAAUUCCUAUGGUGGGAAGAAAGUGUGGAUAAAAAACUGCCU